AGUACGACCGCAAGGUUAAAACUCAAAUGAAUUGACGGGGACCCGCACAAGUAGUGGAGCAUGUGGUUUAAUUCGAAGAUACGCGCAGAACCUUACCAACACUUGACAUGUUCGUCGCGACUCUAAGAGAUUAGAGUUUUCGGUUCGGCCGGACGAAACACAGGUGCUGCAUGGCUGUCGUCAGCUCGUGUCGUGAGAUGUUGAGUUAAGUCCCGCAACGAGCGCAACCCUCACUUUUAGUUGCCAUCAUUAAGUUGGGCACUCUGAAAGAACUGCCAGUGAUAAGCUGGAGGAAGGUGGGGAUGACGUCAAGUCCUCAUGGCCCUUACGUGUUGGGCUACACACGUGCUACAAUGGUAUCUACAACAGGAAGCAAGACUGCGAAGUCAAGCAAAUCCUUAAAAGUUACCUCAGUUCGGAUUGCACUCUGCAACUCGAGUGCAUGAAGCUGGAAUUACUAGUAAUCGUGGAUCAGCGUGCCACGGUGAAUGCGUUCCCGGGUCUUGUACACACCGCCCGUCACGCCAUGGGAGUUGGUUCUACCUUAAGGCAAGGUUUAAAACCCUUGACCACGGUAUAGUCAGCGACUGGGGUGAAGUCGUAACAAGGUAACC
rnacentral:rRNA from 1 species